ACGAACGCUGGCGGCAUGCCUAACACAUGCAAGUCGAACGAGACCUUCGGGUCUAGUGGCGCCCGGGUGCGUAACGCGUGGGAACCUGCCCUUAGGUUCGGAAUAACUCCCCGAAAGGGGUGCUAAUACCGGAUAAUGUCUUCGGACCAAAGAUUUAUCGCCUUUGGAUGGGCCCGCGUUGGAUUAGCUAGUUGGUAGGGUAAAAGCCUACCAAGGCGACGAUCCAUAGCUGGUCUGAGAGGAUGAUCAGCCACACUGGGACUGAGACACGGCCCAGACUCCUACGGGAGGCAGCAGUGGGGAAUAUUGGACAAUGGGCGAAAGCCUGAUCCAGCAAUGCCGCGUGAGUGAUGAAAGCCUUAGGGUUGUAAAGCUCUUUUACCCGGGAUGAUAAUGACAGUACCGGGAGAAUAAGCUCCGGCUAACUCCGUG
rnacentral:rRNA from 1 species